UCCACGUGACCACGCCGCAGCUUGCGGCAAAACAUUUAGCAAAAUGGCUGGCUGUUGUAAGUAAAACUGACAAUUAUUAGCAAACAUUUAAUUUAGUUAGACUUGAUAACUUGUCAACCCUGUGGUCAGUCAAACGAUCCAUUUACUUCACCUUUCUGUGUUUUUGGCAGUCUGUAAAACGAUAGCUCUGAAUUCUUGUUAAUCUGUUAGUACCAACAUGAUCUUGUUCCGUGGGAUAGUCCCGGAAUUUUUUGAAAAGCAAAAGUGACUGCAGUUACGCCCACUGAGUGGCAAAAAGUCUGAGUCUCAAAGGAGAAGUAAAUCAGUAGCAGUAGCCAUAUCAGACACAGAUGUCGUGUAUUUUUUUAAACGGUUGAGACCCUGCAGGAAUACCUGAAAAGCAGAGCUGGUGCGACGCAACAAUUUCAUUUUCUGACAAGCCCCUCCCCGUCUCAGCGAGCUUAUAAAUCCAACUCUCAAAGAUCAGUUGAUCAUCCCAGUCAGCUUAAGAUGGAUACAUGUACACUUCUUGCAUUUGUGGGUACAGGUGCAGGAGCAGCUUGCUUCGUUGAUGGAGCUUCUUCCAGAAGCGACUGCUAUAUGUUUUAGUAACCAAAAGAUGGCGCUGUUUUCGACACAUUGAAGCUUUGUUCAAAACAGUCAAGGGAAGUAUCUGUGCUUCUUUCGAGGCUUAAUUUUCCUAUCACUACUGUAUUAUUUAUAUACACCGGGAAAAUAAGUAUUUGACACAUCAUUAUUUUUAUCAGUAAGGGGAUUUCUAAGUGAGCUAUUGACACAAAAUUUCCAAGGUCGUUUGGCAAGACUGAUCUCCACAAACACGCAAGUCCGUUCUUUGCGUUGGAAUUGAGAAACAGGUCCAUAUCGUUAACAGCUUUGGCUAUCCUAAGAUUCAGUGCGCGCCUGUGUGAGUUACAGCAGUUGCUGCAGCUCCUCUUGUUUUAGGGGCUGUUGGUUUCACUGCAGGAGGGGUUGCUGCGGGUUCUUCUGCCGCCUCUUUGAUGUCAGCUGUUGCUGCUGCUAAUGGUGGAGGGGUUGCAGCUGGAUCUCUAGUAGCAGGUCUGCAGGCCGCAGGUGCUGCUGGAAUACCUGCCGCAGCAAAUGCUAUUAUAGGGACUCUAGGGGGCGCUGCAGGUGCAGCUUUGAGUUCAUACUAUUGCAGUUAAUGAGUCACAGGUGCUGUUGAAAUCUCUGUCAUAUGAAGUCAUAUGCCAUGGAGGUUGCGGUGGGGACUUUCUUAUCUGUCCUGCAAUGCCUGUUUAUGUAAUAAUACACAUAAAGCUUUUCAUGAUCUUACUAUUACUGUAUUUCUACAUUUCUGGUCAAUAUUGUUAAAAUAGGUAUGUGAACUCUGACCAUUAUAAUGAUUAAUAAUACAUUGUAUUAUAAAUUAGUAAUGGCAUAGUUCAUGUUCUGUAUUUUCUAUAUCAUUUGUUCUAACACAUUACUAAGCAAUCAGCCUCCAAACUUUCAGCUGCAGCCAUGUUAGAAUCAAAACAAGGAAUCAGAAAUGAAUGCGGUUUAUAAAUUGCUAAUAAUAAUAAACAUAUUAAUAACA